AGAUGAAAAUACAGGUCCGAACCAGGAACAAAAAAGGCACAGCCUGCCUCACUCCCCAAGCUGGGUGUGUUGAGCACACUAAGUCCCAGCUCAUUACGCCGAAUUCUCUAUCCCCUGUUGAGAACAGGCAAACCCAGCCAGCCAGCAAAUGCCAUUCAUUAUGCUGCUUGGAGCUCGACACUUCCCCUGGUCCCCAAAGCCUUAAGCCUUGAUGGGGAAACACAUUGACCUCUAAAAUCCUGGCAUCCUGCUAGAAAAGGAGCAGAUGUUCCCCUUCCCCAGUGUGAAGAGGGUCCCGUGGAACUUUCUGUUCAUGCCGUACCACGCAUUGCUGCUUGUGAUUGAUAAACGCUGAAUGUAAGCAAAGGAGAUCACUGGGCCAAUUAAAUACAGAGGGGUAAGUGGCAUAAGGCAUAUUAAAGAUAAAGGCAGCUUUUCAACCACUCACUGUAUUAUCAAUAUUUGAAACUCGAAUCCUUCAGCUCUUAUAACAUGCCAAAUGGGGUUUUGAGUUCUUUCUAUGGAGGAGAGAAGCAGAGAGAAAGAGAGGGAGGAAGACACUCUCUAGAGAUCUCCUCCCAAGAGUAGGAUUAAGAAAUGCAAAGGCUCUGCUAAUAAAAAGUGAGGUGAUUUACUGUUCAGUGCGGUGAAGUCACCUAAUCUGUCCGGGACAGGUAGUACUGUCAUGUCACAUGAUGCUGUCACAGAGCACAGAGGAGUCACUCUGAAAUUUGACUGUGGCCCUGCCAGCAUAGAAUCUAGCCUCCCAGCCCAGAUCUUUCAAGGCAGCCUGUGUUUCCUGCCCGGAGAUUGCGGUCUUUCUGAGGGAGGAUUUCUAAACUGACUUUAGCAGAAGGGACCUUUAAAACAUUUGAAACUUCCAGAUGAAGAACUCCAUAAACAAAAAGAGAAGACAGAGGGACCUGUAGGGAGAUGUAAGAAAUGAACAGACACAGAUUAAAAGACUGCAGCCUGAAGGAGGCUCAUGGAAAAAACAUACACAGAUGCAUGAAGGAGACAGAAAAGUGCAGCAAAACCACGCAGAAAAAUGAACUGAAAUGGAAACUUAUAAUUCAGAAACAUAGGGUCAUAAGCAAUCAGAAGCAUGAGUCUAAGCGUUUUUAGCCCUAAUAAUACUUUAUUUUUUUAUCCAACUAGCAGAAUAAAUUCCUGCCUAAAUAAAAUUAUUCAGCAAAAUGGAGCUUGGGGGUAAAUUUUCAUUUGCUUGAAUUUCAUACCAACAAAAAAUCUGCAUUGUCUGCA